GGCGUCCCCCACGAGGGAAUGGGCCGCGGUUUUCACCCCAGCAGGUCGGGGGCAGUGCUGAGCUAGGGCAGUUAUCUGUCUAGACUAGGCUACAGAAAGCUGCAGUUAAAGUUCAUUUCUGGUCACAGCUCCAGGAACCCGCGCGCCUCUGAGGGUCAGGACUCUCCGCUUCCUUCUAGUCCCUGCAAGUUCCUCCUCUGCCCCUGGUUGGUUUCCCCGCUCCACCUCCAGAGACCCUGAAGGCCCUGACACUCCCAGACUCAAACUAUGAGCCUUCCGCAACUGCUGUUGCGCGUGCCCGGUUAUCUCCAGGCCUCGGGACCCCCGCGUCUCCUGCGGUGGUCCCCGUCCCUCGGCCCCGUCUCGGUGGGCUCCUGGCGUGGCCAGUCCUCCAAGUCCCCGGCCUACUGGAAUCAAGUGGUAUCGGAGGCGGAGAAGAUCGUGGGCUAUCCCACGUCCUUCAUGAGCCUCCGCUGCCUCCUGAGCGACGAGCUCAGCAACAUCGCUAUGCAGGUGCGGAAGCUGGUGGGGACUCAGCACCCUCUGCUUACCACGGCCAGGGGGCUUGUACAAGACAGCCGGAAUAACCUCCAGUUGAGGGGCUUGGUGGUGCUACUUAUUUCCAAAGCAGCCGGGCCCAGCAGUGUGAAUGAGUCAUGUCAGAACUAUGACAUGGUCAGUGGGAUCUAUUCAUGUCAAAGAAGUUUGGCAGAGAUCACAGAACUUAUCCACACUGCUCUCCUUGUACAUCGUGGAAUAGUAAAUUUAAAUGAAUUGCAAUCUUCUGAUGGGCCACUGAAGGACAUGCACUUUGGAAAUAAAAUAGCUAUCUUGAGUGGAGACUUUCUUCUAGCAAAUGCCUGCAACGGACUAGCUCUGCUCCAGAACACCAAGGUUGUGGAACUUCUAGCAAGUGCCCUUAGGGACUUGGUACAAGGAGUAUACCAUGAAAAUUCUACUUCUGCAAAGGAAGAUUAUAUCACAAAUGACAUUGGAAUAUCGACUUGGAAGGAGCAGACUUUUCUCUCCCAUGGUGCCUUAUUAGCAAAGAGCUGCCAAGCUGCAAUGGAAUUAGCAAAGCAUGACGCUGAGGUUCAAGAUAUGGCUUUUCAGUAUGGGAAGCACAUGGCCAUGAGUCAUAAGAUAAAUUCUGAUCUCCAGCCUUUUAUUAAAGAAAAGACCAGUGACUCCACGACUUUUAAUCUGAACUCAGCUCCUGUAGUAUUACAUCAGGAGAUUCUUGGAAGAGAUUUGUGGAUCAAACAGAUUGGCGAGGCUCAAGAGAAAGGAAGGUUAGACUAUGCUAAGUUGCGAGCAACAAUCAAAGCUGGCAAAGGUGUGACUUCAGCUAUUGACCUGUGUCGUUACCAUGGAAACAAGGCCCUGGAAGCCCUGGAGAGCUUUCCUCCCUCAGAGGCCAGAUCUGCUUUAGAAAACAUUGUGUUUGCUGUGACCAGAUUUUCAUGACACCAAAUUAAAAAGACACUGUUGUUCGUUAGCUGAAGAAAAACGAGGAAUGAGAUAACAAAGAUGCUAUGUGAGACUCAAGGACAAGGGAAGGUGAAGCCCAAAGAGGGGCCCUGAAGGAAUGCAGGAAACUUAAUGGCAGGCUUCUUGCUCAGCUGCCUCCCAGGUGACCUGAAGUAUUCCCAGCUCACCUCUGCAUGACAUGUAAUCCCAGGCUCCUGUUUCAACACCCACCUUUCUGCUUUCUCUGGGACCUUUCCUACCACCCUCACUGGUGAGUGACAGCGCUCUGCUCUGCCCAUGGGGCACCUUGCCUGUCUUUUCAGGUCUUACUUAGCGGAGUUCUCACUUCCUCAGCAUCUGGGCAUGCUUUUGUUAAACGUAACACAUUGGUGAAUUCACUCUAAAGUAUUAAAUACUGAUAGCCUUUCUCCAGGCCCCAUCUUCAGGGAUAUUUAUUUAUUAACUCAUAUUAAGUUCUUAUAAUUUCACACAACCUCUAGGGAGAAAUAUGGGGAACCAAGACAUGCUUAAUUACACUUUUGUGGCCAAGGAAUGGUAGAAUUAGUGGCCAUAGCAUGUCCCAUCCUUCACCCCUCUCUGUCAGUGCCCCCACCUCCAGUUUCUUGCUAGAGGGAAGAAUUCAGUCAGUAACCAUGAUCAUGCCUCCUUCCAUUGGUCCCCCAAAACUUGCCAGUUAUCUCCUUCAAACCUCACUCCAGGUCCCUGAACUCACCUGCACUCUGCUCCCUGUCAGAGAGUAUAAUAAAGAUUGCAUUAGUGAGGGCUCUGUGUUAAGGGCCUUAACUAUUCCAUCUUGUUUGAAUCCCAUCACCACUCGGGGGGUAAAUAUUAGCCCCAUUCACAGAGAGGAUCACCUCCUUUCCAAAAAGCUCAAGCCUGUAGCCUCCUGUCUCCUUCACGUCCCUUUUCUUGAGUCUUCAGUGUCUCCUCUAGGGGCUGUGAGUAUGCUCAGGUCGCCCUGUCCCUGAAAUAAAAGUCCUCCCUAUGCCCAGACUAUCCACCUCCGCUUUUUCCCUCCCAGCUUCACCAGCACUCCCUUGCAAUUGGCCAUUCACUCCCAGGUCCCCACCAUCUCGACCAGUGGCAACGCUUUAAAAGGCACUCAAAGAACACUUGUGGAACAAAUCAGGUGUCUCACUGCAGAACUCCAGGAGAGGCAGUUCCCAGAGCACGGCCUUGCUGAGAAAUCCCCAGCCAUUCCCGGGCAGGCCGCCUCCCCAGUGGUUCAUGUUGCUGACUGAGACUUCCCCCUUGCGCCUGCACCCCCACACACACACCCCCUUCCUUUGUGCCUGAUACAUCUUUCUCAAUCCCACCCCUAGAGGCGUUCUUUUCUAAACAUGUAAAUUCUAUUUCCCAGUUUUCUUUCCCACUAAGUCCUCUUUUUAAAAAUUCCCCAACUUAGAAAAAAACUUUUCUGGCAUAAAAAAAAAUCAAUUAGAUAUUGAUUAGAUAGUGAGCUAUUUGCCAUUCAGGAUUAAUGACUUUGAAAGAGGGUGAGGGUUACGCUUCUCAUUAAACUUGGUUGUAAGUUUUACUUGAUGACAGCACUAAAUCCGCUUCAAGUUUUCUUGCUCAUAUAAUGUGGUUUAUCUAGUCACACGUAAAAAUAAAUUACCAGCGACUUGUUUGCCUGGUCCAGGUCCCAUUCUCCAGUGUCUGACACUUUAUCUUCUCUCCGACAAUGUUACUGCUAUGGCUCAGGAUGUGGGUGACACCUACACACUUAGGGCAGAAGACAUAUACAACUCAUUGAACUCAGGUGACCAGAAAGAAAUCAGAAUAGCCAUGAUUGUGUGAUCACCUUUCAAAACCUGACAGGUUGCUACAACAUAGAUCUCUUUGGGUAAGUGGGUUUGGGGAAAUUGUGUUUAAUCAGCAAAAUGGCAGCUGAAGGAUACCCUUUUUUUAAAGGCUCUAGUUAAUCAGCUGGUCCAUCACUGACACGGAAAACCUUGCUUUUCAGAAAACCCUUUUCAGUUCAGUCUCCUUCCAGUUCUUAGUGUCAAGAAGAUCCUUUUCUGCCUCUUCAUGUGUCUUCCCACUAAAAUCCUAUGGUUAAGAUCACCUUUCUGGCCAAUGGAAGCUCUAGGAUUUAUCUUUAGACUCUGUAAUGACUGCCUCUCAGCCUAGAGAGGGCACCCAAAGCACAAAAGGGCAGAGAUGGAUUGGCUUGGUUUUCUAAUCUAUGUAACUGUGAGGACAAGGUUGUCAUCCCAUUAUUAUUAAGUUUCCAUUAUUGUUAAUUAUAUUUUAGUGAUAAUCAAGUUAUUUGCACUUUCUUUAAAACACAAAGCAAUCUAACAAGAUAAUUAUUUACCUCUUUCCUUUUUCCUACCUUCAGUACUAAUCCCUUCUCAAAUUAACUUUUCUUCUUUCAGAAUGGGUCCUGCCUUUCCAUUAAGGAGAUAACAUACUUCUAAAGGUGAUUGAAAAAGAGGUGUCACCUGGGGAGAGGGGUCAAGAUAGUGGGGUCCAUCCACCCUUUAGGUCACCCCGCCUGUCCGUGGAGUCUGAUAUGCUAGGUGUUAGCCCUCUGUUAGUGAAGGAGUGUUCUUUCUAGGUAUGUAUUUCUUUCUCUUCCAUAGAAAGAGAAAGUUUCUCAGGCUUUCAUUCUCUUUUUAUUAUUUGGGAGAUGCUGAUGCCAUCUUCAUGGAAGAACAUUAGCUUUCUCUCAACUCGAUCUGCUCACUUCUAAGACUAAUAGUGUACCCAUCACUGUUUGUCCUGUGAGCAAAUGAGUGGACUCGACACUGCAAAAUCUGUUGAAAUUGCUUAAAUUUCACCUUUUAAACACAUUUAAGUCAAUAACUGUGGUAGGCAGUUAGACGCACAUGAGCAGAGCAAGGACAAUGGUCCAGGUAGAGAAGGUCACCAGGGUGGAAAGCUCUGGGUGCCUAGCAAAGAACAGUUAUAGGGUGAGACCUUGCCCCGAGGGUGACCUUUCCUCCUCUAGCAUAUCGCUGGUCAUGUGGUGAACCCC